AUUACGGAUGAAAUCCAUAUGCUGAUGGCUACCCUGUAAUGAAGGCUCAUGAGGAAGUUUAAAAAGCCAAAGGAGUAAAUCUGGAAACUGAUAUUUACAGCAGCACUUGGAACGCAUAAUGACAAGACUACAUUUGUCAAGGCAAAAGAAGAAGAUUUUCUAAUAACGAUAUGAUCCAUGGAAAACCUGGAUGAAAAAUACAAGCAACCAACAGAGAAGAAAGAGCAUCCCUGAAGGAUUGGAAAAAGAUUUCCAAAAACUAAGAUUUAGCCUAGGUUUGAUGACUUAAAGCAAACAACAGCAUGAUGGUGUCAUUCACCGAGGAUGCAGAGAGGUUUUGUGAGGACCCCAACCAAAAAUAUGAAAAAAUUGCUAACAAAAGUUGUAACUGGAAAUAAAGAACUGAGGACAACGCUGAAGAAAAUUUUCAUGCAUUAGAUCUGCUUAGGAGUAAAAAAGAAGAUGGGAGGAGGUAUAUGAAGUGACACAUAAAACACUGUUCUUCCUGUACUAUGAAAUAAGAAAAUUCUUUCACGCCACAUUUAUUACUGGGUUAUUACAGCUACCUGAGCUACCAUGUUUUGACUUUCAAGGACUGAAGAAGAAGAAUGUUCAUGAGAAUGUAAUUUGAUGGGUGCCUCAUUCAGCAAACAAAAACAUGCUACAUCCAGCUCAAAGACAGGACAUUGGUGAUACAAGCCAAGCGCAAACAGCAGUGGAGAAAAAGAUCUUACAGCUUAAAGUUAAAACAACUAACAUGCUGAACAUUCAGGCACAUUCCUUUCCUCUUCCUCCUUAUUGUACAGAACCAAGGCUAUCAUUUCAGCUUGCCACUGAAGGAAAAUUACUCUCCUUUGCUCUAGUUUGGUAUUUCCAGCCCUUGAAGUAUUCCCAAACCUACAUAAAGUGUGCCCAUGUAGCAAAUGCCCACACCCUAAAUUCCACAAACAUCAACAAGAUCUCUUCGUGUCUGCUUUCUUGCUGUUUCCUAGUUUUAGUCAUUUACAACAGCACAGAAUGGGUUGAACUAAAGGAACAAGCAGAUCAGGUGCUCAACCACACGGGUUAGCAGCCGUGAGUACUGGAGACAUACAGCAGGAGACAAUUCAGAGUUCCUUUUCUUCCAAACAGUGUUUUGUAGCAGCAUUACCUCAGGCAGAAUAGAGCUGUGCCCCUACAUUCUUUCUCUCAAAGCACAGGGAAGUUGCUCUCUCAGGAAGGAGAUGCAGUCAGAUGUGUAUGAGCUGCCCUCCGUAGAGAUGACUGAAAAACUUGGAGACAUAUGAAACAUCCAGGGGCCUCCUCAUACCCCACUAAUAUAUCACCUUGCUUCUUUAUCUCUUCUGAAACCAGAUCUUUUCUGAGGCACUUUUUUUUUUCAAUCUGGUGUGGAGAGGGAACAUAGGAGGCUGGGUUUGGUUGCUGUGCAAUCACCUGAUCUCUCUCUCCUUUUCUUUCCUUUGCACAACUUAGGGGAAGUAAGAAUAAAUAUGGCAUAUAGAACUAAAAGAUGAAAACAGUCAACUAUUAGAACUGUGCUUUUUAAACAAACAAACAAAAAAAAUAUCAUUCAAGAUUUUAGAUGCAAAGUGAAAUAUUCAGUGUUCUCAUUAUUCAGGAGAAACAUUCAAUGUUCUCAAACUAUGGUUUCAUCUCAUAUUAAAAAAUAACUCCAUUUCAUUUUUGUGUUCAGAAAUUAUAAAAGAAGCACCGUAACAUCCCGUAACCAAAAUAAUCCCAUUGGGUUUUGAGCUCUCUUUGAGAUGUUCAAAUUUAAAAUAGUUAAGUUAUGAGUUUGAACAAGAAACUCUUUCUUCUGCUUAGCACUAGCCACAUUUUAGCAUAUGUAGACCAUCGACCUCUGUUCUUAGUUGCAGUUGUCAUCUCAAAUACUCUGUUUAUACAGGUAAUUCACAGUCACUAACUCUCCAAAGCCCACACGACCCCUCCAAAAAAACUGCAGAGAACUGUAGAGAAAGACAUUUCCUGGAAGUUUUAAAUUAAAUAGAUAGGUAAAUCAACCAGAUAUUUGAUGAAAUGAAAGGUACCAGUAGCUACACAUUCAGUUCUCCUUCUGGGCAUAUUUUUGCCAUAUAUUCUUCUGUUUAGUUCCUUGUUUCUUUUUGAGUUUUAUUUUGUUUGUUUGUUCAUUUGUUUGUUAAUUGGACUCUCAAGUCUGCUUUUGAUCUGGUUAUGAUCUCUUCUUUGGUCUUGCUCUUUCUUCAAAUUCAUUUAAUGUUACUUUUGUGCCAAGCAAAAAAAUAAUUCUACAAUCUCUUUUUCUUUACUCCCCAAUCACUGUCUGCAUCUUUGCUCUACAUGAAGGAAUAUCUAAUUGGCCAUGCCUACAAAUCCUCUACAGCUUCACACUUCCUUAAUAAUUACUCACAGAUUCAAUACCAAUUCUAGUUCUUCCAUCUUCCAGAUACAAGAUUGCCUUCAGAACAUUUUUGUACUUGAACACCAGAAAGGAAAUACACCAUCAUAAAAAAAAGGGCAUGGAGUUUAUAAAGCCAUUAGCGUUACACAGGUAAAACACCUACACAUAAUUUUUGCUCUCUUGGAUAUAAAAAUAGGAAUCAUAGCAAUGCCUGUACCCAUAGAUACAAGCAAAAAACUUCCUCUUCAAUACAAGUAUAUUUAUAGUUAUUUUGGGUGAAUCCACUGACAAAGGGUAUGGAUAAUUAUUACCGAUUAAGCACAGGGUACUUAGUUAAAAUAAAAUAUACAGUUCUUGCCUAAGAAGCCUAUAAUUAAUCAGCAUGUGUGAUCAAAUUGCCACUCAUAACGUCAGAUCAGUUUAGUUUAAUUUAACCAAGUUACUUUGACAUGAGCAUAAGUAUAUAUUUAUUAACAUUUCAACGUUCAACUCAGCAAGACAAUUAUGUUAGUAAAUCUGCUUGCAGUAGCUACACAAAUAUUGGAGGCAUAAACGGUUUUUAUAGAUCUAUAAAUUUGGAAAAUUUUAUGGGUGAAGAUAGAGAGCAGCUCAGAAACACACUCUUCUGAAAGCAAAGGAAAUAAACAAAUGAAAACUCCCUACCUAACAGCAGUGCUGAAGGACUCCGGGUUCACGUGGUGAAUUAUCCAAGAAUAAUGAUAUCCUUAAUGGAUAUAUUGUAUGGAUUUUCUAAAAAGAACCGGAGUCACACAUAAAUCACACCUCUUGAUUAACCCUUUUAUCAUUAUUAGUCUGUCAACAUCAGCAAAGACUAACUAUUGAAAAAUUCAAUCAUUUCAGUGUACUUACAGCUGAAUUUUCUCAUCAUGUGACCAACUAUCCACAAAGCCUCAGUGCCAUUAAGAAGUUUUGAGGAAUAUAUUAUUUGGUACUGCCAAAAAAACAUAAUUAAAAGAACGCAUGUAAAUUAUAUUUAUUUUCUAAUUCAAAACUUUUUUUUUAAUGAUUAUUUCACGUCUAAAGUACAUUUGGGGGAAAGGCAGAACUUACAUUAUCCCAAAAGGCAGGUUCCAGCACAACCCAUGAUACACUGACAGAAUUCACAGUAAGAAGGCACAGUAGGGUCACACAAACAGAACCCCGCACUACUGCAGAAUCUCCUUAAUUUCAAUAGGGCCCUACCCACAUAUAAUCAGUUACAGAGUCCGCCUAUGUGGGAGUAACAACAGUGAGCACGGGACCCGUUCCUCCACACACCUGCAAAACAAGAAUGCAGCGAACUGCCCUUCAGGUAGAUCCAUGCUUCUCUUCCAAUUCCGUGUUGUAUCUCCCAAAGCUUAAGAAAAGUUCAGUGAUACACAGCUUAGUAACACAACACUGACGUUAAGUUUAAAGAGUCAAUCUGUUCAGUGGGUUUUUCUGCUUUGUUUUUUAGAGAAUAAGCAUAAUGGCUAUUAAAGAAUCACCUUACGAUCCUGCUACUGCUACCUGGCUUCAGAUCAUUAUUAUUAGAGAAUAAUUUUUUAAUAACGAGCAAGUCCCAGUUCCCUUUUUGAAAAAUGCCACCCACUGUGCUCUUCAUACCCUUCCUAUUGCUCUAGAGACAAAGAAUAGUCAGCGUGGCAAAGUUAAUAGAGAACUGGACAUUACAGGACAGGUUGGAAGGAAACAAUGUGAAUGGGACCAGGAGUGAAAACGACUUAACAAAAAAGGGAUGGAAUAAAAGAAACAACGUUACUUUCUUAGCAGGGCAAUAAAAACGGGAUUUUCAAAACCAUCCAACUUCUAUUGAAGUGAAAGAAUUACAUCAAUUCCAAAUAUGCUUUUAGAAAACCUUUAAGCCACUUAUCUUUAAGCAUUUAACUUUAAGCAUAUGGAGUAUCUAAACUCCGCUCAGCUAAACAACUGAAGUGCUUAAAUUUAAAAAACAAAUGUAAAUCAUCUUGAAAGCAUUCACCCCGUUUGUAAUACCAAGCUUGCAUACAGAUCUGAGCCCCAACUCCUUACCCUGCUUACAUGCUGACUCACACUUGGGCUGGAUCCAGCCUAUUGGUUCUCAGACAGGCAAACCCAAGUACAAAACGUGAGGGGCUAACGUGCAUUCAGACUUCUCUCUCACAAGCUGGACUCGUGCAAGUAUCGUGACUUAGGUACGAGAUUAAUUGUUUGGUGAAGCAGAGUGCAAAUGAUUAAAUGCUUCGAGUUAAUUCGGGGGAGAGGGUCUCAGAAAGAAAACUAAAGAAAGUGCCCGAGGAAGAAAAAAGAAACUGAAAAUUAAAUCUGGAUUAAAAAUAAAUGACCUCUGGGUUAUAUCUCAGUGCACUCUGCCUGAAAACCACUGCUUCUUUUUGGCUUAAGUAUCAAAUCUCAUUUUUAAAUAUGCAAAAUGGUAACUAACUCAGACAAAGGUUAAAUUAGUUCAGUGUUUGCUGACAGUACCGCAGUAAUCCUUAACACAGAGCAUCACUCGGUUAUUGGUGUAAAGGGCUCGCCAUUUCUUCUGCCUUACAAACACACCCGCGCUUCCAGUCCUGCUUUGGUAAAGAGCAGGGUGAGGGUUAAUACCCAAUAUUCCAAUCUCUGUGGUAGCAGCCAUAAAGGGAGGAGGAAAUGUGGAGAUCGUAAGCUGCUAGUGGGGUUCUGUCCCUUUUACUCCUUACUCUACAGUGCAGUUGCUAAAGGAAAACAUAAAUUGAGCCACUGAAAUCAAAACAGUGAACCAACAAAGUUCAGGGACAUCUCUUGGCAUCCUGUGAACUUCUGGUCAUUGUGAUCUGCCUCCUAAACUGUGGAUCAUUGUAUACACCGUUAUUUUAAGCUGUCACCUCUCAAAACUACCAGGAAGCCAGUACCAGUGCUUAACAGCUACAUUCUCAUGUCCUCUCCCACUACUAAUAUCCCACCCUUCACCUACAGCUAUAAAAAAGGAAAUUCUCUCUAUUUAAAAUGCGUGCUUAAUAAUCCCAUACGUGUAAAAAUCAUGACUCCGUGUUGGUACGGAGCUAGAGCAAGGUUAAAGACCUGACUAAGGCAGUGAGUUACUGAUAGAAUUAGUUCCUCUCCAGAUUCAGUUCCCUUUUCACAAAAUGGUUAAACACAAUAACGUUUUGUUCCUUUUAUGAGAAUCAUGAGCAUUACUAACAUUUUAUAAACGUUUUGAAGCUCAGAUUUCAAAAUUUCCCAGAAACUGAGAAACUAGAGAAGCAAAUGAACAAUUUACAUCAUGCUGUCUUAAAAGAAAUGAAUUGAACAGCAUAAAAGCAAACAAAUUAGUGCUAGCUAAAGCAUUUCCAGACCUCUCACUCCUGUAUUAAUUUCAGUAGCAUUUCAUUUAAAUGCAGAAAUACAUAUUUGCAAAGUCUGAGUUUCAGCCUUUCCAACAAUUCCUCACAUCCGAGCUGUGCUGUGCUGACUGGUGGUGCUGAUAGAAAUCCUCCUGUGAACACAGCUGAGCGCAUGCACAGGACUAAGGCUAAAUCAAGUAAUAAAAAAAUAGCUCAUAAAUUCAGUGUAUCGCUAACAAUUGUUUGGAAAAGUCCAGGAUGGAUAAGGAGAUGAUAAAGCUUGAGAAAGCAACGAGCAAAAUAGCGGGCGGGAAGGUGAGAAAUUAGGCUCUGGCCCCAGCAGUUACCCUACCAAAAACAAUCUAACUUUAAUACCAGUUAAAUAACAGAAUUGAUACAAAGGAAAGAAAAAAUAAUAGAGCAUCCCCUCAAUAAUUUAUAGCCCCAACAACCACACUUAUUUUCUCACCAUUUGACGAGUCCUCUUCAGUGUAAGGCCAAAGUUCGUGGGUGCUGUGGAGAAGAUCACUUGGCAACUGCUCUGCUGUAAUUAAUCCAUAAAGAAUGGGCUUCAGUUUUCACAGAUAACGAACCAGCACAUUUCACAACCACUAACAUGCAGAAGAAUUUUUACAAUGUUUAGAAGUUACAGCGAGGCCGUUUUAGCAAAACUUCACCACAGAACCUUCGUUUAAUAGCAAGUAUUUCCCGAGGCCUCAGGGAUAUGUUCAUGAUGGGUCAGGCCUAUGGCUGUAUUAGAGUCAAUACUGAAGGAAAGCGUAGUUAAGCCCAGCCUUUGGAUUGUACCAGCUGCCUUUAUGCUGUGUUAAACAUCUUAGACAUUGGGGGAAAAAAAAAAAAAUAGAUUGAAAGUUGGCUGUUGAAAAACCAGGUAGUCUACACCAAAAAUAUGCUAAAGGUUGUUUAUGGGUGGUUUGGGGUUUUUUUUUCCACUUAGUAUUUUGUAGGGAAUUUAAUAAAGCAGGUGUACAUCCUAAUCUAGCAAAUACUUCCUGCAGUCCUUGGUGCCAAGAGAAGGAUCCCUAGAUCAGCUCUCAGCUGGCAAAUUCAGAACUUAGUUUUCACUGCCACUGCAGUCUAAUGACUGUACAGUAAUAAACGGCGCACUUCAGUCCUUGCUACGUGACAACCUGAAAUGGCCUAAGUAAUGAAUUCCAAAUCCUAUGUUUGUCAGGAUAAAUUGGAGACUUAAUGGCCACAGAAAGAAGCAGAAAAGUCAAAAAUGAAAGGAGAUGUUGAAUACACUUGAUUAUUAGAGUAGAUUAUUAAGCAGAAACUUCAACUGAUAGCAAACUUUCAGAAGAGGUCUGAGGAGAGGCCUUGGUGAAUCUCUAACGGGGAUCCAGCAAAGAAGGCUGGAUAAGCACCAAAAGCAAGGCAGGGCUUAAAUUAGAAAAAUAAAUACAAAAAAAAAAAAAAAAAAAGUUGGAAUUUCCACUGGCCAUGCACACAUAUGCCAUACCAAAACAGGGAACCCAAAUAAUAUGUAGAUGUGCACGUUAUUAUAAUUGCUCCACGUUGGGUAUACCUUGUUGGCCUCCAUUUGGUGUAACUCACUUAGGAGCUGGACCAGUAGAGAGUGGAAUAAUAUGCAAGUACCCAGGCAGACCAAAGAAUCCAGCUACACAGUUACACAGUAGUGACACAAUGCCAGUUUUCAUUACGACAAAUUCCUCUAAUCCUCACGGUUGUAAAAUAAAUCUUAAAAACACAUAGCAAGGUAAUUUGCAAAGUAAUGCGUGCCUGAGUCAAAAGACAGCCUCCAGCUUUCUAACCAUCCCUGACGAGCUGGGAGCUCCUGGGCCAUUCUGGGAGAUCAGUACCUUGCUUUGGUUGUGCCACCUUGCAGACAGACCCCGGCCGUUUGGGAUACCCAAGUGUGAUUCUUGAUCCAUAUAGGGAACUCCCAAGUAUAGGAAGCCGGGGGGAAUGUCAUCUCAGUGGGGUAGGUGAAUAUGAGUCCCUCUCUUCCACUUAAUACUGAUUUUCUAUAGAACUUUAAAUGACAGAUUUGGGGUCUCCAGAUCCUCCCGGGGCCUAAAUCCAGGUUUCCCAAAGAAAUGCCUGGGUCUCCAGACUACAGCCUCGUGUCGGCAGUUUCUCUCACCUGACACAAGAGAAUUUACACAAGUAGGGGAAAAAAGCUAACAUUUCUACAGAUACACUUUUCUCAGGGGCUGGAGCAAGUCUAUGGGAUGAAUACGCCCAGGAGCUAAGGGCCAUCAGGAGCCCAACCAACCACGUAGUGCUUGGAGAACAAAAUACAUGACUUUGACCUUGCCUCACUACUGUAAACACACAACACAUAUAUUGAAGAAAAAGAAAAAAAAAAAAAACAAAAAAGGCAGAUAAAACUCAAAACAUUCAACUGCACAUGCUCCUCCCCCUGGCAACAGGAGAGCAGAUAACAUGACAAAUGCUGGCCAUGUCACAUGUUACAGCAGUGGAAGAUUCUCUGAGAACGUAAUGACACCCUGUGAGGAGAAGUGCCUACAGUGGGGGGAUUGGCGGCGUGCAGGUAGUGCUUCAGCGAGGAAAGGUGCAAGGAAAGGAGUGCAGCACAGAAACUGCAGCUCUACCCUCUCUUAGCUGCCACAGCAGAUAGGACUUCCACCGUUCUGAUGAGCCCACGUUAUCUGGAACGGAAAUCUGAUCUAAAGAACUGACAUCGCUUUUGUUGAGGCUCAAAAUCCCUCUCCCCUGCCUUCUGUCCUCAGCUGUGCUCCUGCUGUGACUCCUUGGCUUUGCCAGUCACUGAGGAAACAAGCUGACAAUCCUCUCCCAGAUGCUGCAGCCAGAGAGUGCAAUACCCACCUCCUAUUGCAGGGGCUGUUAGACGAGAGCGGCUGCCCUUCCUCGCCGUCAAAUAUUUAACCACCCUGAUCCUAAAAUUAUGGCAAUUGUGCAUUAUUUAGCUUAAACCCCAGCGAUACGAAGUGGGUGAUGCAAACCGAGACUAUUGCAUUGGGUUUACGCUUCGUGCAGCCCUAAGUAAUACUGAGAGCAGUGAUUGUGUAAUACGACUUCCAGCUUCGGUCUGAACAGGGCCAUAACGAAGCACAGAACCACACGCAGGAUUGGGCCUGUGUGUGUCUGCAAGCACGGAUGGGAUAGCGGCGGUGCAGAAACUUCACUGCCUUUAGAAAUCCUUAAUGAGACCUCAGAAAUGCCAUUCGAGAGGACAACAGUGUGAUUCGUAUAAGAGAAUACCACAUCCUGGCAAAGAGGCUGACAUCCUAUCUGCUAGGUCUUAUUUCUGCAUCAUAGUUGGGAAAAAAAAAUGGGUGAAAAAUAGCAACUAGAGUUGCUUUAGGGCAGAACGAUACGUAAUCUAAAUACAGACGAGUGGUAUCGGCAACGCUGUAUUUUUUAUGUAUUUUUUUCAGUGCUCUCAUUGCUAUUUCUACCACAAAAUGCUGCUUUCGUGGGCAAAAAGAAAAAAAAAAAGAAAAAAAAAAAAAAAGAAAAGAAAACCUCCAAGCCGUUGGCUGCCAUUCCUUUCGGUGCUCAUUGAAAACUUCACUCAGGGCAGUUUUAAUCAGCUAAGCCUGAAAGUGUAAAUAUACGGCCAAUCAGUUCUAUUUUCUCCCUUUCAAAAAAAAAAAAAAAGGGAAAAAAAAAAAAAGGAAAAGAAAACAAGAUGUGAGGAACGACCGAUUCCUUUUUUUUUUUGCUAAGAACUUGCUUUGAAAAAAAAAAAAAAAAAAGAAAAAAAAAAAGAGUUGGCUCUCGAGUGAUCCCGAGCCUCGGAGCCUCGGCGCGAGCAGCCGCGAACGGGCGCGGUAUCAGCGUGCGGUGCCUCACGCACCGCUCGGCGCUCAGCCGGCAGCCCCGGGAUCGCGUGUUUCUGACCGGCAGCGCACUUCUCGUAGCCAUGACGGUCUGAGCGAGCCCGGCAGCUCGGAGCUCUCCGUGUCGGUCGGUUAGGGGAAAAAAAGAAAAAGGCGACGAGCGAGAAGGCGACGAGAGAGAGCGCGGGCCUGGGGAGCGGCGGUGCGCGGCCCCCGCUGCUCUCUCGCUCCCUCCCGCAGAGGGAAGCCCGGCGCCGGGGCUGAGGCGGACCCGCCGCAGCCUCACGUCAAGUGCAGAGAGAGGUCCCGGAGCGCCUCCAUCUCGCUUCCCCCCUCCGCGAAAUGGGGCUGCGAGCGCGGGCCGAGCUCCGUCCGCUACCUGACGGCUCGGCACGGCUCCGGGGGGGCGGCGUGAAAAUGAAAGUUCGCCUCUCCCCCCCCCCCCAUCCCUCCCCCCCCCACCCCCAUCCUCCCCGCCCCGCGUCCCCGCAGCGCUAUUUUUUUUCAAACGAGCGCUGCGCGGGGCCCGGUCCGCACGGCUCAGCCCGCAGC
ensembl:lncRNA